AUUGAACGCUGGCGGCAGGCCUAACACAUGCAAGUCGAACGAGUGGCGGAAGGGUGAGUAAUGUCGGGGAAACUGCCUGAUGGAGGGGGAUAACUACUGGAAACGGUAGCUAAUACCGCAUACCAUCGGAUGUGCCCAGAUGGGAUUAGCUAGUAGGCGGGGUAACGGCUUACCUAGGAGACGAUCCCUAGCUGGUCUGAGAGGAUGACCAGCCACACGGGAACUGAGCCCCGGUCCAGACUCCUACGGGAGGCCGCAGUGGUUAAUAUUGCACAAUGGGCGCAAGCCUGCUGCAGCCAUGCGUCGUGUAUGAAGAAGGCCUUCGGGUGGUAAAGUACUUUCAGCGGGGAGGCGUUACCCGCAGAAGAAGCACCGGCUAACUCCGUGCCAGCAGCCGCGGUAAUUC
rnacentral:rRNA from 1 species